CUUCUCUGAGCUUUCAUUUUACACGGGGUUAAUAGUCAGUAUACUUUCUUACUCCCAUUCUUAACACACAGGUGAAGCAUGAGCUUGAGACCGUAUUAAAAGUGAAUAAAGAAGAUGUUCUCAGUUUUUUAGGGAGGUAUCAGGACAAAUCCAGUGAGGGAGAUUUUAGACAUCUUUUACACAUGGAUGUGACACACUCAUUCCAGCUUGAGUUUCCACAAGCAAUGGGCCUAAGUGGGGAGCUGUUUUCCAGGCAGACUAAACUGGAACACUUUGACUGUGGUGUGAGUGUAAAAGUCAUCAUCAACAAGAACAUGUCUUCACAGGCCCAGGCAUUGGUGAAGAGUUAUGGUGAAAACAAUAUCAAUGGCUCUCUUCACCUUCAUUCCAAUGGAAGAGAAACGCUGAUGCUGGAGGUCGAUGUGAACAAUGAAAACAGGAGGAAUGCCAGAAUUGUUGAACUGAGGGCUUAUCUCCAUCAGACAGUCCUGACAAAUCCAGGAUCAGUACAGUUCCAGCUCAUGGGCAAAGUAUUUC
rnacentral:lncRNA from 12 species